UUUCGGUUAGUUCGUAUGUUCACUUGUGAAUGCCCUUAGUGAAAAUCCUACCUCCGCCACUGAAAAUACCUAUCGAUUAUCAAGUGAGCCCCGACUAAUCGAGCCUUGUCUUCAAACCUCAUCCCUUCUAUGAUCUUGAUUUGCCGAUCCAUGCGGUCACCUAGUUCGGGUAGACAUUGCCUCGCAUCUCCCAUUUCUUGUCUUGUACGCUUCAAUUCUCCCCUUAAGUAGUGUAUAGUCAUGGUAUAAUCCAUGUAUAGUCAUGGUAUAAUCCAUGUGUCGGCGUUGUUGCGUUAUCUCAUUCUCUUGGUACCUUGAUUGAAGCCUAUGAAGUCGGAUUUGAUGCUCGGAUUCAACAUCCACAACUUGAGAGCGCACAUUUGGACCGGGCACGAGGGUUCAAGAAGGUUCUCUUUCAACCAUUCUUUAUAUGUUUCAGCAAGCCUAUGAAGCCUGUGUCAUGCACCUAAAAGAUUUUCAUUUAAAAAAUGAACCUAGGAAAGCUUUUUUGUUUCAGGAAAAAACUUACAACGCACCUAGUGUACGCACCAAGCCAAUACAUGCAUGACAUAUGUUUGAAUUUAGAGUUCAUGUCACUUAACCAUGAUUAACUAGCAUGCAUUUUACUUUAUUUAAUCACUUAACCAUGGUAAGUUACAUUAAUUUGUUGUAUACACUGGGUGCGGUAAGUUUUUACCGUCAUUUCAUCCUGGUUUUGAGUGAAUUAAUUUUAACUCUUCUUAGUUACUCGUUAGCCCCCCUUUUUUAUUUUUUUAUUUGAUUUUUGAAAGCAUUUGAUCGAACCCAUUAAGGAUUGCCUACAUAUCAUGGUCAACAUGAAUCAGAUCAUUAUAGUUUAUGAAUAUAAUAUAUAAUAGUUUUUUUAAGAAAUAAAUAAGUAAAUGAAUAAAAAAUGAACCAAAAGCAAAUCUUUUUCAUUCAUUUUCUAAUAUUUUUAAUACAACUAUUUAAAUAAAAGGAAAGUAGAAUUACCUCAAACUACAACAGACUCAAAAUACUGAAGAAAUGAAAUAAAAACAAAUAUCUAAAAGAAACAAACUCUAAAAGGACUUAAUAAACCAUAAUCAGGAUGUCUUUCAAAGGUGUUUUGGAACUUAGUUGCCUUUCAGACUUAAAUAUAUCCUGAACAAUGUUAUCAGUAAAUGUGGAGCAAAGCACGUGCCUGUCAACCCAAACUCUCAUCAUCCCGAUGAAGAUAACCAUCAUAAAUAUCAACCAGGAUAUCCUUGAGCUGAAGUACUUGCUCCUUAGCUUUAUUCAUACUUUCGUGGCAAUUUUAUGCCCAAUGUCGAGUAGUAUGGACUGCAUACUUCAAAUCUCCUUCUCUGAAGUUCCUCGACUUGUUAGUUAAGUGCAUUUUUCUUAGUCAUCCACUGAUUUCCUCGAUCUCAAACUUUUUCUGAAAAGUUGUGAAGUGUCUUGCUAUUUCUUUCUCUUGUUCCAUAGAAACCUUUAACUGAGCCUGAAGUCUAGAUUGUGUGCACGUCAAUAAAACGUUUUCUUUUUCAAGAUCACCCAACUAUUGCUCAUAGCACCCGUGACAAUGCCUAAGUCUUCUUGCAAUGUCUAAAUGGUAACACGAUGUUCUUUUCAACCUUUUUAUAGACCAACCGAAUUCUAGCUUCAAAUCUUGCUUCUUGUUGAGCCAACUCUUCUCUAGCGCUCUUCAGAUCCAUACUCAGAACAUGCAGAGUGGAUUGAAUGUUGUCUUCUACCUCACGCUGAGCAUGCUUAAUCCUAAUCGCAAUCUUUGCUUCAUGAUCUACUAAUCCUCUAGCCGACUGUUCUGGCAUGACCCUAAGAGGAGGCUGAUCACGAAACCAUGGAAAAUACCAAUAUUCUACCUCGUCUUUGUCACGAUCUUCCACCAUGUCACCAAAACCUGAGAGUAUACAUCCUCCCAAAAUCUCAAAUAUUUCAUACUUCCUGAGAAGAAUGUUAGGAAGAAACUCACAUAUAAAAUCUUGCAUAUCAUCAACUAGAGGUAAAUACUGGCAUCAAUCAAGUUGUCUCAUAACUCUGAGUGGUAUGUAAGGUUGAACAGCUCGAAGGCCCAUUAGGACAAUGAAUAGUCAUAAAAUAGACAUGUAUAUCACCUACUCUAAAGGGAACCAAUGAUAAUUCCACACAAUCUUAUCAAUAGUCAAUCCCUGCAAGUACUUUUCCCAAGCUCCAAUUUCUUCUUGAAGUUUUUUAUCUCUAGUCUUAUCCUUAUGACCUUUAAUGUAAUCAUUCCAUUCAACUUUGAAAUCUAUCAUGAAGGGAUGAUAACGAAUAUGCUCGAUCAUUUAUAGUUGCAAUAGAAUAUUACAUCCCAUAAAAUAAUCUACUUUAUUUUUGCACAUUAUUAAGGCACGAUAAAUAUCUACUAGAAUCAUCGGCACAAGGGUGAUGUUAGGCUUCUUCUCAAAAGCUGUAAUGACUGUGGUCAAGUUUACGUUGAUCUUUCAUCCUCUUUUUCGAAAUACCAUGAUCCCAAAAAGGUUACCUUGAAGGCUUCAUAACUAUGUUUUUCCUAGGUCAGACAACAUUCAUCAUUGUUAAGUAUCGCUCCAAACAAAUGAAUCCAUCCAUUAUCAAUCCAGCCACCUAUGUUUCUCUCAUUUAUGUUCAACAACUUCAAAAACUUUUCACUAUUAACAUGUUUUAGUAUCAUGAGUUCUCCUUAGUGAAGAUUCUUACUCUUUCCCAUAAAUGCUCUUAUUUCUUUUAGAGUUGGGGUGAGUUCAACGUCUGAGAAGCAAAAAACAUUGUUCAAUAGAUCCCAAAAAUGAAUCAAGGCUUUUACACAUCCCUCAGUAGCUCAAUAUACAAAAGGCUCCGUAAAAAUCCUAACUGUUUGAAUGUUAUUUUUCUUCUGUGAGUUGUCAUAUUUUCAUAUCAAGUCCGCAAAAGUACUGGAGCUUUAUCUAGUACCAUGAACCGAGGUGAUUCAUCAUCUAUUAGUCUCUUGUCACUCUUUCCGGUUGGGUUCAUAUUGUCCUAUAGGAUGAUGAUGUCAAAUUAAAACUUAUCUAUAUUCUAUUUUAAACAUCAAACAUUAAAAUAAAAUAAUUUUUCUUUUAAUAAAAAAAAAGUAAUAACAAAAUAAAAGUGGAACUCAAUUUUAAGACAAACAUGAGAAAAUAAAAUUGGCAUGACAGGAAGUAUUAAAGUUCUAAAAAUAUCUAAGAGUUGGGAUGACAUUUUAAUGAUGUUUGGACUUGACUCGUUAAAAACGAUCAAAUUAUUUGAACAAAAAUAAUGGACUGGAUGGUUUGAUAAAAUUUUAAACUUAUUUUGUAAAAAUGAACUCUAUGAUAUUCAUAAAAGAUAUUUUGAUAACAAAAGAAAUGAACAUAAAAACACGACGAAAUCAAAUGGUCAUUCCUUCAUAGAAGAGUUCAGCUUAUUUUGCAAGGGAAAAAAAUAACUAGAAACUAGGACAAAAACACAUUAUAUUUUUUUUUUUGAAAACAAGUCAUUAAACUCUUAUAAAUUAACUUAUUUAUUUAAUUCUUAAAAAAGAUCUCCAAUAGGAUCAUUUGAAUAUUGAAAAUUUCCUCUGUUUUUUUAUUUUUUUUCUAAAAUAAAGAGAACCUUUUUUUAGAGGGGGAAUUUUGACAAAGAAAGGAUACUUGAUAAAAUUAACAAGAAAUUAAGCCUUUUUUUUCUAUUAAUUAGUUCAUUUAAAAGCCAAUCAACAAUUGAUAUGGCAUUUUUUUUAUAAUGCAACAAGUAGCACAUAAAAUAUACAUUAUGAUCUCGAAAGAUGACACCUAUCCUAGACGAACUCGACUCCUAUGUCGAGCCUGUAACGAUCAAAAAAUUUGAUGAAAUAUGUAAAAUUUGUGAUUUUAUAUGAUUUGACUAUUUUACCUUUCUCUAUAGUUGUAUUAUGAUAUUUCUGGGGUGUGGAGAUGAUUGACAUGGCUUUCGAUGCAUUUUGGUACCAUUUAUGUGAUAUUGUGAUUUUUGAUGGCUUUCGAAAGUCUCAUUUUGAACUUAUGUGGAUAUCUUUUGAUUCGUACGAUGGAUGGCUGAACGGACUGUGUCAACAGCUCCAGAAUAUCGAUUUUAAGCUAGGCAUAGCUUAGGUUCAGGUCCCGGUGCACCCGAGCUCAUUUCGACCUAUUGAUUGAAAAGUUGGAAAAUUGGAAAUAUGGGGGUGGGAUCUACAUUUGAUCAAAAUAACCUCGAAUGGAAAAUCCGACUUUGCUAACAAAUCCAAAAUGUUGAUUUUAGGGUGGUAACAUAUUUGGUGUAACUUUACAGCUUUUAAAUCUCAUUUCCACCCUCAAUUUGGAAAAGUGUGAUUUUGGAUUUCAGACUUAGGGGGUCAACUUUGUGAAAAUAAUAUUAUUUUUUAAAUAUGACUUCACCAAUACGUUUGGAACGUUGAAUUUAGUGUGGUUGAAUAGUUCGUUUGUAUAUAUCGGACUCCGAACGGAUCCCGAGCACCCUGUCGAAGUUCAAAUUAACUAAAAUCCAACUUUUUAGCAAAAGCUGUGCAGAAAAAUCUGCAAUAAUAAAAAGCAGUUUUUGGCCAAUUUUGCUUAUUUGUUGAGAGUUAAACCUUAAAAUAGCGUGAGAGCUUAAAAGUGAAGCUUGUGAGAGCUUGGAUAGCUAGAUUAACAUCUAUUUCUUGAUACUAUUAUGGAUUUAAGGUAAGAAUUCACCAUUUUCUUAGUAACUUCUUGAUUAAUUUCUCAAAACUUCAAAAAUCUUAAGGCUUGUUUUUUUAAACCCAAAUUUCACUCCUUUUCACUUGAAUAAUAUUUUUACCUUAUAAUUACUAGUUUUUCAUCAAUUUAACCUUCAAAACAACUCUAAUUCGUGAUUUUAACCCAAAUUUUAAAGAUUUUAUCCGGUAAAACUUAAAAAUGGUUUUUCUUUGAUUUGAACCUCAUUUGUUAGUCAAUUUGACUAGGGUUAUCAGCUGUAGAUUUUUUAAAAUAUGAGGAACAUGUUUUUGAAGUAAAUUUAUGAUUUUGCCCUUCUUUUUUGAAAAUCUAUUUUGACCUUGAAUCAAAAGUAGUUAAUAUAAGUGUUGUUGGUUUUGUUUUGAUGCGUGGAUUCCAUAUUUGAUGUUUUUAGUGGAGUCUGAAAUCAUUUGUGAAAAAUAAGGUUGCGAGUUUAAAGUGUAGCUAACUAAUUUCGACUUUCAAGGUAGGUUAUGGCUUAACUCUUUCAGACUGGGCUGGAUAGUAAAUAAUGGUACAAAAUACAUGAUAAGGGUGGAAACUAAUCAUGAAAAAUGUCUAUCUAUGUGUUGUGCCUGUGUGGGGCCUAUGUGUGAUACGGUUGUCGAAAUUGAGAUAUUAUGUGAUAUAUGUGACCGUGUAGGGUCCUAUGUGAUUUGAUAGCACUGAAUACAUGUGAAUAAUUAUAUUAUGUUGUUAAAACAUCUAAUAUGGUACCAUUGGUGUAUUGUGAUUAUAUUCAUAUUGGCAUAUGAGACAUGUGGAAAUUCAUGGAUAAAACAAAAAUAAUGAGUGAAUAUUGGUUCACGUGGUUGUAGAAAUGUCAUUGUGGUUGGUUAUAGAAAUAUAUCAUGUGGUUGAUUGCGGAAAUACUCAUUGUGAUUGGUUGUGACCAUUACAUCUUCAUAUCAUACCCAUUCAUGAAACAUUGGUAGUACUGUGGCAAUAUCUGAGAAACACUGGCAACACUUGAUAACACCUUUUCGAGGGUGUGUCAGAAAGAAGAUUUAAUAUAUGUGGAUUGUAUAUAGAUUGACGAACCCACCAUGGGUCUUGUGUUGGGAGGCUUGCCACCGUAGGUGUAUACGGAAAUUGUGUGAUGAUCUCGAAGGUUGUACGAUGAUCUCGUGCAUCAUCAUCAUCAUCAUAGACAUUGUACUUACUUUAUUGUGUUUAUAUUAUGUUGUAUUGCCAUAUUAACUUGCCAUUUAUGUAAUUAUCUUAUCUUCUUUUACUUGUAUUUGAUGAUUUUGUAUGUGCAUGUUCCUUCUUAUUCUACUUAUGUGUAAUAUAAUGCAUACUUGUGUUCUAUCUUGUUGUGAUAUUGCAAUAUAUGUGAUAUAUUAGAAUUAUUAGUGCAAGCGGUAUGGGCUACCGUUGUGGAAUAUUUUCUGAUUGUAGGUGAUUUGCCUUUAGGGUAUAUUUUGUAUGCUUUAUUGACUACUUUGCUUGGUCGACCUCUGAUACCUACUGAGUACAAGUGGACUGUACCCAUGCCUACUACACCCUUUCGGUGCAGGUCCUAGCUCGAGUGUGCCUCAGCUUGCUUGACUCGGGUGAUUGUUAGAGCUUCUAAGGCUGCAGUUGGACAUUUAUGCCUCUGACGUUCACCUCUAUCUUUCUAUAGUAGUCAUGUCUUUAUUAGUAUUUAGAGACAGAUAUUAUUUUUUUGUGGUUAUUGUUCUGAUUUAUUUGACUCUAGGAUUGUAUUAGUAGUUCUUACACUAUUUGACACCUGGUUUUAGGCAUGAUUGAUAUUUUGGAUAAGUUCUUUCCGUAUUAUUACGAUUAUUUGUAUGGUUUGACUUUAUUCUAGAAGCCUUACCUUGGGUAUUUCUGUUUUUUUUUUCUUUUUGUAUCAGUUUGGGUGACAGACUUACUUGUCAAGGUAUGCCGCGAUAAGUGUCAUCAUGACCCUUAUUUUGGGUUGUGAAAAAUUGGUAUCAAAGAAUUCAGGUUCAUUGGUCUCAAUGAUGUAAGAACGGGAUUUCUAAUAGAGUCUCGUGGAUCGGUAUGUAGACGUCCGUACCUAUUUUUUAGAGGCUAUAUAAUUUCUUUAGGAAACUUUCCUAAUUUUAUUCUUUAUUAUGCGAAGCUCUUCCAUACCUUGUGUUCUGAGUUGUGUUCCACUAUUUUUGUGGGAUGGUGUAGCUUAUACUACAUCUUACCAGUUGAGAGAUGCAGCGAGAGAAUGGUGGAGGUCGCUUGUUAGUUGUAGAUCCCGAGAUUUUCUCGGGAUAACUCGGGAUCAGUUCGUUGAGGCUUUCCUAAAGAGAUUUGUGCCUUUCAUUUUGAGAGAGCAUUUGUGGAACAAGUUUGAUCAUUUGGAGCAGGGCUCCAUGAUAGUUGUUGAGUAUGAGGCACGCUUCUAUGCCCUGUCUAGAUAUUCUUAUGAUAGCAUUUCUAUCUAGUCUGAGAAGAUUUAGAAGUUUGUGAAGGGUUUGGAUGUCUCUAUUCAAUUGGCUACAUUUCAGAUGGUUGUGUUUGGGACUUCUUUUCAGAGUAUUGUGGAUUAUUCUAAGAUGACAGAGGGUAUUCUUAGUGCAUCUCAAGGAGGCGCCAAGAAGGCACAAUGUUUUGGUGAGUUCAGGAGUCAUACCUCUCGAGGCAGAGAUUUUAGAGGUUCUCGUAGAUACCAUGGUAGGCUAGUGCAAGUGACUUUAUAGAGUUCAGGUGGGGAACCUUCUAGUUCAGCAGUUCAGGGUGGUUAUUCGGGCUUAGUUGUACCUUUUUCUAUUGAGACUGGUUGUAGAGGUUGCUAUAUGUGCGAUGAUAUCGGCCGUGUGUCCAGGGACUAUCCCCGUCGGGUGAUUUGAGCUACUUCUAUUUUAUGUAUGAGGGAUAAGGGUGCGACCAGAGGUGCAAGGGUCAGAGAUAGUGGAGCUCUUGAGGGUAGCCAUAAGGACACUCAGGCAGUAGGUGGUAGUGGGUCUACUCAGGCUGCUGGUGGUAGUGGUUAGUGUUAUGCUAUACCAGCCAAACCUGAGGUAAAAGCUUCAGAUGUUGCGAUUACAGGUAUCGUCCUCAUUUAUUUUAGACCUGCAUCUGUAUUAUUUGAUUUCGAAUCAACUUUUCCUAUGUGUCUGUGUAUUCUACUUCAGGUUUUGAUUCUGGUAGUGAGCUUCUUGAUAUGCCUAUUCAUGUAUCUACCCUGAUAAGUGAUUCUUUAUUGGUGGAUCAGAGAUAGUGAUCUUUUAUUGUGACUUUUGUGGGGUGUGAGACUUUGGUAGACUUGCUUGUGUUAGAUAUGGUUGACUUUGAUAUUAUUUUGUGUAUGAAUUGGUUGGCUCCUUAUCAUGUUGUCUUCGAUUAUUUUGCUAAGACUGUGACUUUAGCUUCAUCGUGUGUGCCAAAGAUAGCUUGGAAAGGUGUACUUCAUUCGGGUCCUAAAAAGAUUAUAUCUUAUGUUCAGGCUUGUAAAUUCGUUGAGAGGGGAUGUUUAUCUUACUUUGCUCAUAUUCGUGACACCAAUGUUGUUUCACCUUAUUUCUUGGAUUUUAUCCAUUUUGUGGGUUUAUGGAUGUGUUUCUUACGGAGUUGCUUGGUAUGCCUCCAGAUCGAGAUAUUAAUUUCUUCAUUGAUGUUGAGUCGGGCACCAAACCCAUUUUUAUUCCUCCUUAUAGGAUGGCCGCAGCAGAGUUGAAGGAACUAAAGGAUCAGUUGUAGAAAUUAUUGGAUAAAGGGUUUAUCCGACCUAGUGCUUUACCUUGGGGUGCACAUGUAUUGUUUGUGAAGAAAACAAAUGGGUUUAUGCGGAUGUGUAUUGAUUAUUGACAUUUGAAUAAGGUAAGAGUUAAGAAUAAGUAUCCUCUUCCUCGCAUAGAUGAUUUAUUUGAUUGCUUCAGGGUGUUGCAGUGUUUUUAAAGAUUGAUUUACGGUCCGAUUAUCACUAGUUGAGGAUUAGAGCUUUAAAUAUUUUAAAGAUAGCUUUUCAUACUCGAUUGGGUCAUUACGAGUUCUUGGUCAUGUUUUUUGGAUUGACCAAUGCCCCUGCUGCAUUCAUGGAGUUGAUGAACUGGCUGUUUGACCGUAUCUCGACUCCUUUGUUAUUGUGUUUAUAGAUGAUAUCUUGGUUUAUUACAAGAGUGAGGUUGAGCAUGAGGAGCAUUUGCGGAUUGUACUUUAGAGAUUUGAGGGAUAGAAGUUGUAUGCCAAGUUUUCUAAGUUUGAGUUUUGGUUGAAGUUUGUUUCUUUCUUGGGUCAUGUGGUGGCUAAAGAGGGUGUUAUGGUUGAUCCAUCCAAGGUUAUCGCAGUUUGUGAUUGGGCUAGACCUACUUUGGCCACUGAGAUUUAGAGUUUUAUUAGCUUAGCAGGCUAUUAUCGGUGUUUUGUUGAGGGUUUUUCUUCUAUUGCAGCUCCGUUGACCAAGUUGACUUAGAAGAAGAUUUCCUUCCAAUGGUCUGAUGCUUGUGAGGCGAGCUUCCAAAAGCUCAAGGAUUUGUUUACUUCAGCUCCUAUCUUGACUUUGCCUAGGGAGGGCAAGGGUUUUAUCAUCUUUUGUGAUACUUCAAAUGUUGGGUUAGGUGUUGUGUUGAUGUAGGAGGGCAAGAUGAUUGCUUUUGCGUCUCGUUGGUUGAAUCCUUAUGAGAGGAAUUAUCCUGCCUAUGAUUUGAAGUUGUGCAUAGUCAUGUUUGUACCAUCUAGGAAAGGCUAAUGUGGUUGCGAAUGCCUUGAGCUGGAAGUCGACUAACAUGGGUAGCUUGGCACAUUUUUUGACCCAAGAGAGGCAUUUGGCCUUAGAGGUUCAGUCUCUAGCUAACUAGAUAGUUAGACUUAAUAUUUCAACACCUUGGUAUGUUUUGUGAUUUGUGGAGGCUAUAUCUUUUUUGAUGGAGCAAAUUCGAGCUCAUCAGUUUUACGAUGUUAGAUUGAGGUUGUGCGUCUUCAUGGUGUGCCCGUGUCUAUUAUUUCAGAUCGAGGUCCUAUUUUUACAUCUCACUUUUGGAAGACUUUUCAGGAUGAGUUGGGUACUUAGGUUUAUCUUAGCACAACUUUUCACCCAACUAUAUAGGUUUUGGAGGAUAUACUCCGUGCAUGCGUGAUGGAUUUUGGUGGCCUGUAGGAGCAACAUUUGUCUUUAGCAGAGUUUACAUAUAAUAAUAGCUACUAUUCUAGUACUGACAUGGCUCUUUUUGAGGCAUUGUAUGGUAGGCAUUGUCACUCUCAGUUGGUUAAUUUGAUGUUGCAUAGAGAGACCUCGAGGUGCGGACUUGCUUCUGAGUCUCUGGAUAAAGUUUGGGUUAUUCAGGAUAGACUUAAAGUGACUCACAGUACGCAGAAGCGUUAUGCUGAUCGUAUACUUCAUGCCUUGAGAUUUGGUGUUAGUGAUCGUGUCUUUCUUCGAGUUUUACCCAUGAAGGGUGUGAUGAGGUUUGGAAAGAGGGUCAAGCUAGCCCCAAGUAUAUUGGUCCAUUCGAGAUUCUUCGGAUUGUUAGUGAUGUGGCUUAUGAGUUAGCUUUGCCCCUUGAUCUAUCAGAUGUUCAUCUAGUUUUUCAUGUUUCUAUGCUUCGCCGCUAUAUUCCUAAUGAGUCUCAUGUCAUUCGUUGGUAGUCGGUUCAGUUAGAUGACUGAUUGUCCUUUGUUGAGGAGCCAUCCUCCAUUUUGGCUAGGGAUGUUAGGCAGUUCCGCUCUAGAGUUAUCCCUGUAGUUAAGGUCAGUGGCGACAUCAACCUAUAGACAAGGCUACUUGGGAGGUCAAGUCUUAUAUGCAUAGUUCUUAUCCUCAGCUCUUCAUUGAUUCAGGUAUUUCUUUGUCUCAGUUCGAUAACGAACUAUAUUUUUAGUGGUGGAUGAUAUAACGACCUAAAAAUUUGAUGAAAUAUGUGAAAUUUGUGAUUUUAUAUAAUUUAACUAUUUUACCCCUCCUCGUAGUUGCAUUAUGGUAUUUAUGGGGUGUGGGGGUGAUUGGUAUGAUUUUUGAUGCAUUUUGGUACCAUUUAUGCGAUAUUGUGGUUUUUGAUGGCUUCGAGAGCCUUAUUUUGGACUUAUGUGGAUAUCUUUUGAUUUGUGCAAUGGAUGGCUAAACGAACUACGUCAACAGCUCCGGAAUAUCCAUUUUAGGCCAGGUAGACCUUUGGUUCAGGUCUCGAUACAUUCAAGCUCAUUUCGACCUAUUGGUCGGAAAGUUAGAAAAUUGAAAAUAUGAGUGUGAGACCCACAUUUGGUCGAAACGACCUCAGAUGGAAAAUACUACUCCGCCAGUGGAUCUGAAAUGUCGACUAUAGGGUGGUAACAUGUUUGGUGUGAUUUUACUGCUUUUAAAUCUCAUUUAAGAUUUAUAUCGGCCUAAACGCUUCUAAACGAUAAUCAAAGUUGUGAAACAAUUCAAGUUUCAAUUUUUCUGAUAUUUAAUAUUCAAAAUCAAUCCUUGUUGGUUGAGAUCAAAUCUCACAACCCACCAAAUUUCAACAAAUUACUUUAGAUUUAACAGAAACUAAUAUAUUCAAAAGUCAAAUUCAACCAACCAAUUUGCUUAGUAACCCUAUUAAGCUUUACCACUAUUUGUACGAAAUAAAUUAAAUGAAUAAUGAAAAAGGCAAUGAAGGAAAAACAUUCAUCAUGUUAAGAACACUAUGUUCAUAAUAAAAUAGAUGAUUAAAAUAAAAAGACAACUUAUAAUAUCAAAAUGAUAUAAGAAGAUAAGGAACUGACCUUGAAUUUUCCAAUUUUACUCAUAGUAUUUGCCACAUUGUAGUAGGCAGGCCUCGAACGGAACCUCGAACGUCCACCUCAAGAACACUGACGACGAUAGUGGUGGUUUUGGAAGAUGGAUAUGAAUUUUUUUAGUGUUGUAAUAGG
rnacentral:lncRNA from 1 species